rnacentral:rRNA from 1 species
CAAGGGGGUCAUCCCGACUUACCAACCCGAUGCAAACUGCGAAUACCGGAGAAUGUUAUCACGGGAGACACACGGCGGGUGCUAACGUCCGUCGUGAAGAGGGAAACAACCCAGACCGCCAGCUAAGGUCCCAAAGUCAUGGUUAAGUGGGAAACGAUGUGGGAAGGCCCAGACAGCCAGGAUGUUGGCUUAGAAGCAGCCAUCAUUUAAAGAAAGCGUAAUAGCUCACUGGUCGAGUCGGCCUGCGCGGAAGAUGUAACGGGGCUAAACCAUGCACCGAAGCUGCGGCAGCGACACUAUGUGUUGUUGGGUAGGGGAGCGUUCUGUAAGCCUGUGAAGGUGGCCUGUGAGGGUUGCUGGAGGUAUCAGAAGUGCGAAUGCUGACAUAAGUAACGAUAAAGCGGGUGAAAAGCCCGCUCGCCGGAAGACCAAGGGUUCCUGUCCAACGUUAAUCGGGGCAGGGUGAGUCGACCCCUAAGGCGAGGCCGAAAGGCGUAGUCGAUGGGAAACAGGUUAAUAUUCCUGUACUUGGUGUUACUGCGAAGGGGGGACGGAGAAGGCUAUGUUGGCCGGGCGACGGUUGUCCCGGUUUAAGCGUGUAGGCUGGUUUUCCAGGCAAAUCCGGAAAACCAAGGCUGAGGCGUGAUGACGAGGCACUACGGUGCUGAAGUGACAAAUGCCCUGCUUCCAGGAAAAGCCUCUAAGCAUCAGGUAACAUCAAAUCGUACCCCAAACCGACACAGGUGGUCAGGUAGAGAAUACCAAGGCGCUUGAGAGAACUCGGGUGAAGGAACUAGGCAAAAUGGUGCCGUAACUUCGGGAGAAGGCACGCUGAUAUGUAGGUGAAGCGACUUGCUCGUGGAGCUGAAAUCAGUCGAAGAUACCAGCUGGCUGCAACUGUUUAUUAAAAACACAGCACUGUGCAAACACGAAAGUGGACGUAUACGGUGUGACGCCUGCCCGGUGCCGGAAGGUUAAUUGAUGGGGUUAGCGGUAACGCGAAGCUCUUGAUCGAAGCCCCGGUAAACGGCGGCCGUAACUAUAACGGUCCUAAGGUAGCGAAAUUCCUUGUCGGGUAAGUUCCGACCUGCACGAAUGGCGUAAUGAUGGCCAGGCUGUCUCCACCCGAGACUCAGUGAAAUUGAACUCGCUGUGAAGAUGCAGUGUACCCGCGGCAAGACGGAAAGACCCCGUGAACCUUUACUAUAGCUUGACACUGAACAUUGAGCCUUGAUGUGUAGGAUAGGUGGGAGGCUUUGAAGUGUGGACGCCAGUCUGCAUGGAGCCGACCUUGAAAUACCACCCUUUAAUGUUUGAUGUUCUAACGUUGGCCCCUAAUCGGGGUUGCGGACAGUGUCUGGUGGGUAGUUUGACUGGGGCGGUCUCCUCCUAAAGAGUAACGGAGGAGCACGAAGGUUGGCUAAUCCUGGUCGGACAUCAGGAGGUUAGUGCAAUGGCAUAAGCCAGCUUGACUGCGAGCGUGACGGCGCGAGCAGGUGCGAAAGCAGGUCAUAGUGAUCCGGUGGUUCUGAAUGGAAGGGCCAUCGCUCAACGGAUAAAAGGUACUCCGGGGAUAACAGGCUGAUACCGCCCAAGAGUUCAUAUCGACGGCGGUGUUUGGCACCUCGAUGUCGGCUCAUCACAUCCUGGGGCUGAAGUAGGUCCCAAGGGUAUGGCUGUUCGCCAUUUAAAGUGGUACGCGAGCUGGGUUUAGAACGUCGUGAGACAGUUCGGUCCCUAUCUGCCGUGGGCGCUGGAGAACUGAGGGGGGCUGCUCCUAGU